GAUGGAGAACGUAGUGAAAUGCGAUACGUAAUGUGAAUUGCAGAAUUCAGUGAAUCAUCGAGUCUUUGAACGCACAUUGCGCCCCCUGGUAUUCCGGGGGGCAUGCCUGUCCGAGCGUCAUUGCUGCCCUCAAGCACGGCUUGUGUGUUGGGCCUCCGUCCUCCUCCCGGGGGACGGGCCCGAAAGGCAGCGGCGGCACCGCGUCCGGUCCUCGAGCGUAUGGGGCUUCGUCACCCGCUCUUGUAGGCCCGGCCGGCGCUUGCCGACACAUCAAUCUUUUUUCCAGGUUGACCUCGGAUCAGGUAGGGAUACCCGCUGAACUUAAGCAUAUCAAUAAGCGGAGGA
rnacentral:misc_RNA from 1 species